AUGGCGAAAGGUUCUACUGCGAAGGCAGAGAGGGCGAAAAAGGCAGGGAAGGCCACCUCCUCUGGCUCGGGCGUGGCGGCCGGUGGUGCGUUAGGGGAAUGGCUCCCGUCGUGUGUCUCCGCACGGCGCGUGGAGGAUUUGGUGGAGGAGGGACUGAUCCCACAUGACGGGUGGCGUCGGCCAGGCGCGGGAGAGAUCGAACCGGCGCCUGAGUUGGACGAGCGCAUCCUGCUCGUCACCCACGUCGAGCGAGGUUUCUCGAUGCCUCCGCAUCCUUUCUUUCGAGCAUUCCUUGAUUUCUUCAGUGCUCAACUCCACCAUCUUCCCCUAAUGCCAUUAUUUACCUUUCGGCUUUCAUCUCCCUCUGUGAGAACUUCCUGGGUUGCCAUCCCCACUGGGGUCUCUUCAAACACAUCUUCAUCUGUCGGUCGAUCUCGGUGA
rnacentral:rRNA from 1 species